UACGAAGGGGGCUAGCGUUGCUCGGAAUCACUGGGCGUAAAGGGUGCGUAGGCGGGUCUUUAAGUCAGGGGUGAAAUCCUGGAGCUCAACUCCAGAACUGCCUUGAUACUGAAGAUCUUGAGUUCGGGAGAGGUGAGUGGAACUGCGAGUGUAGAGGUGAAAUUCGUAGAUAUUGGGAAGAACACCCGUGGCGAAGGCGGCCAUCUGGACCGGUACUGACGCUAAGGCGCGACAGCGUGGGGAGCAAACAGG
rnacentral:rRNA from 1 species